CCUACGGGAGGCAGCAGUGAGGAAUAUUGGUCAAUGGACGAGAGUCUGAACCAGCCAAGUAGCGUGAAGGAUGAAGGUUCUAUGGAUUGUAAACUUCUUUUAUACGGGAAUAAACGAAUCCACGUGUGGAUUUUUGCAUGUACCGUAUGAAUAAGGAUCGGCUAACUCCGUGCCAGCAGCCGCGGUAAUACGGAGGAUCCGAGCGUUAUCCGGAUUUAUUGGGUUUAAAGGGAGCGUAGGCGGACGCUUAAGUCAGUUGUGAAAGUUUGCGGCUCAACCGUAAAAUUGCAGUUGAUACUGGGUGUCUUGAGUACAGUAGAGGCAGGCGGAAUUCGUGGUGUAGCGGUGAAAUGCUUAGAUAUCACGAAGAACUCCGAUUGCGAAGGCAGCUUACCAAACUAUAUCUGACGUUGAGGCACGAAAG
rnacentral:rRNA from 1 species